rnacentral:rRNA from 1 species
AUUGAACGCUGGCGGCAUGCUUUACACAUGCAAGUCGAACGGUAACAGGCCGCAAGGUGCUGACGAGUGGCGAACGGGUGAGUAAUGCAUCGGAACGUGCCCAGUCGUGGGGGAUAACGCAGCGAAAGCUGUGCUAAUACCGCAUACGAUCUAUGGAUGAAAGCGGGGGACCGUAAGGCCUCGCGCGAUUGGAGCGGCCGCUGUCAGAUUAGGUAGUUGGUGGGGUAAAGGCCCACCAAGCCAACGAUCUGUAGCUGGUCUGAGAGGGCGACCAGCCACACUGGGACUGAGACACGGCCCAGACUCCUACGGGAGGCAGCAGUGGGGAAUUUUGGACAAUGGGCGCAAGCCUGAUCCAGCAAUGCCGCGUGCAGGAAGAAGGCCUUCGGGUUGUAAACUGCUUUUGUACGGAGCGAAACGGUCUGGGUUAAUACCCUGGGCUAAUGACGGUACCGUAAGAAUAAGCACCGGCUAACUACGUGCCAGCCGCCGCGGUAAAAC